rnacentral:rRNA from 1 species
GUGCCAGCAGUCGCGGCAAUACGGGAAAGACGAGUGUUAUUCAUCUUUAUUAGGUUUAAAGGGUACCUAGACAGUGUAUUUUGCUUUUAUGAGAACAUUUACGCUAGAGUUUUAUGUGAGAGGAAUUUAGUACUAACGGAGUAGGGAUAAAAUCUUUUGAUACUGUUGGGCACUGAUAGCGGCGAAGGCAGACCUUUAUGUAAAAACUGACGUUGAGGGACGAAGGCUUGGGUAGCAAACAGGAUUAGAUACCCUAAUAGUCCAGGCAGAAAAUGAUGAGUGCCAUAGAUUGGAGUAAAUUUGGUCUAUAAAUGAAAGUGUAAGCAUUCCACCUCAAGAGUAAUGUGGCAACGCAGGAACUGAAAUCAUUAGACCGUGUCUGAAACCAGUAGUGAAGUAUGUUAUUUAAUUCGUUGACCCGCGAAAAACCUUACCACAGAUUGGAUAUACUAACAAUUUAAAGCAAAAUUGUUUUAUUAGGAAUCUUUUAAAUAAGAAUGUUAUCUAUACAAGCGCUGCAUGGCUGUCUUAAGUUAAUGUCGUGAGGUGCAGGUUAGCUCCAUUAAAUUAACGUAAACCCUCAUCACACUUAAAGUGUGGUGGUUCUCUGGCAUAUCGGAAAGAUAAGGGGGAACAAGA